rnacentral:tRNA from 1 species
GGGGCAUUAGCGCAGUUGGUAGCGCGCCACAAUGGCAUUGUGGAGGCCAGGGGUUCGACUCCCCUAUGCUCCACCA